CCUACGGGAGGCAGCAGUGGGGAAUCUUGCGCAAUGGGCGAAAGCCUGACGCAGCAACGCCGCGUGCGGGAAGAAGGCUUUCGGGCUGUAAACCGCUUUCAGCAGGAACGAAAAUGACGGUACCUGCAGAAGAAGGAGCGGCCAACUAUGUGCCAGCAGCCGCGGUGAUACAUAGGCUUCAAGCGUUGUCCGGAUUUAUUGGGCGUAAAGAGUUCGUAGGCGGUCGAGUAAGUCGGGUGUGAAAAUUCUGGGCUCAACCCAGAGACGCCACCCGAUACUGCUUGACUUGAGUUCGAUAGGGGAGUGGGGAAUUCCUAGUGUAGCGGUGAAAUGCGCAGAUAUUAGGAGGAACACCGGUGGCGAAGGCGCCACUCUGGAUCGAUACUGACGCUGAGGAACGAAAGCAUGGGUAGCAAACAGGAUUAGAUACCCUGGUAGUCCAUGCCGUAAACGGUGGGCACUAGGUGUGGGUUUCUAUUAACGAAAUCCGCGCCGUCGCUAACGCAUUAAGUGCCCCGCCUGGGGAGUACGGUCGCAAGACUAAAACUCAAAGGAAUUGACGGCUUGAGAGUUGCGAGNGACACGAGGGAGAG
rnacentral:rRNA from 1 species